AAUAUUUUUAUUACAAGUGUUUAUACAGGUUAUUGAAAAUAUUUAUCAGGAAUGACAUGCAAAGAAGACUUUAAUUUUUGUGUUUCAUAUUUUUAUAUUAUUACAUUUGUAUAAAUAGCAAUUAUAGUGAAAAUUUAAUUUUUGGGGCGUUAGGCGGGAAUGCUUUAACUUAUACUACAUUCGUCACGCAUUUACGCAAAAUUUAGGCAGUUACUAUUUACUUAAAAGAAUUAAAUUGAUUUAGAUAUUUAAUCAAAUAAUUUUCAUUUUUUUACAUUAAACAUGGCUUAAUCUUUUUCUGUAAAAUAAAAUUUCAUUAUCUAAUCUUUUCUUUUGUUUUUCAUACAUAUUUUCAUGUACUUUCGUUUACCUUCAUACACUUUUAUACACAUAUUUUUUCGAUAACACAAUGUAAUUUACACAUUCUUUAUACAUAGAUUGUUUAUUUUAAUAUACAUUUUAUAGUUGCAUUUAGAAACAUUGAUUUUUUUCCUCUUUUAAUAAUAACCUAAGUCUAGCCGGAAGUAAAUUGAAAAAGAAUAGCCAAGCAAUAUGCCCUACAAAGUGUAGUUUUUUUUCAGCCUCUGAAAACAUAGGAAAACCUACUUUUCGUACUCGAUGUUUAGCCGGAUCUGAUGGUCGUGACGGCUGUCGGCCUGCCUCCAACGACGAAGGCUGGUCAACCUAGUCAACCUACUGAUGAUACUCCAAAAACAUUUUUUGCUAAUGUUUUUCAAAAUCCUUGUAAACCUCACAAGAAUAUACCAAUGAAAGAAAUAUCAUAUUUGCAUAGGGAACCAUGUAUUAUUUGGGAGGAGGAAGAGGCCAAUCAAAUGAUUGUCAAUGAGAAUCUCCAAUAUGCUUUCAUUGGAAAAUUUUCUUAUGGUUGACCAGAGGUAGAGGAUUUAAGGUGCUUAGUUCCAAAACAAUGUGAUUUGAAGGGAGAAGUCAAUAUUGGGCUUUUAAUCAAUAGAUAUGUUCUGAUAAGGGCGGCAAAGAUUGAAGACUAUGUUCAUCUUUUAUUAAAUCCGCAGUUUUACAUCACCAAAAAUUAUUGGUCUUACCCAAUGAGAACACUGAAAUGGGAUCCAAUGUACAAUCCAUGGGAGAAAACUACGACUGCAAUAGCUUGGAUUUCUUUUCCCUCCCUACCACCUAAUUUAUUUAUAAAGGAAGUUGUGUUCUCUCUAGCAGCUAUUGUAGGAAAACCUUUGCAUAUGGGUUUAGCUACACAGAAUAAGACUAGACCAAGUUAUGCUAGAGUCAACGUAGAAGUAGACUUACUUGGAGAGUUUCCUAAGAGAAUCAAUAUAAGGAUGAGAAAGAAAUCAGGAGAAGUUACAGCGAAACGGAUUUAGAUUAGAUAUGACUAUGUCCCCAAAUAUUAUAAAGAAUGUAAACGCCAGGGACACAAUGAAAAGAAUUGCUAUGUUAUACAUCCAGAAUUAUAUCUCAAAGAAGAAAAAGAAGGGAUAGAGGAGAACAGUGAUCAGAACAAAAAAUUUAACAAUCAAGAAGAGGACAAAGAAAACAUGAUUACAAAUGAAGACAAAGAAAAAUCCAAUGAGGAAGGUGAAAGGAAAUUUCACAACAAAGAAGAAGGUAGAUAAGGAGAAAUGGAAAACAACCUUAUAGAGGAAGACCAAAAAUGCUAUGGAACCAAAGAUCUCCUGCUACAAUUGAGGAGGAAUUUGCAACAAAAAACACCUUUGGGGCCUUAGAAGAAAAGGAGUCAGAACAGGUUGGCAACAAAAAAAUGCAGGGGACAUAGGGGAUUACAAUGCUAAAGAUCAAGAAAACCAAAGAAAUGAAACAACUUCUCCACAAAGUAAUAACAAAAGUGUGAAAAAAAAAGAGAGAAGUAAAUGAAAAAAAAAUCUCAAAGCUCAGUAAAGGAAUACAACAUUCAGUUGACUCAAGCAAAGAGACAGGGAAUUCAACAGUAAAGGAAAUAAAUGUGUAGAGUAGUGAUAACAAACAAAUGAUAACAGAUAACCCUGAAGAUGAAAAAAUAAGUAAAGAGAUAACAGAUAUUCCCAAAAUUCAGUAUCUUUCACAUGAAGGAAUAUAGAGAAGUAGGAUUUAGAGGAAGAUGAAGAUCUGGAGGCAAAUAUAUACCAAAUUGGUCGAGAUGGAGAUUUAUCUCCAAGGAAAAUUGGUCAUUUAAAAGAAAGAAAUAAGAAGGAACACAAGAAUACGACAGUCAAGUCUCAUAUUAAUACAAGGAGUAAGACAAGUUCUAAAACCACUAGUGAUCAAUGAUUAAUAGAGUGAUUUUUUGGAACAUUUGAUCUGUUAUAACUCAAAGUUCUUUUGACAGACUAAUAGAACUACAUAGAAGGAAUCAAUACUCUUACAUUUCUUUAGUGGAACUGUAAUACCCCGUGAUUUUUUCUAGCUUAAAUGCAUACCGAAAAUGACCAUGAGUAGCUUUUAGAAUGAGUGGUGUUUAUUUUGUGUGGAAUUAUUUAGAUUUGGACUUUCCAUGGCGUAGAAAAUUGAAUUAGAUUUCCAACGAUAUAAGAUUUGCCUAACCGGAUAAGAAGUUAUGGCUAUUUAAAGUUCCAGUCAUGAAACACCAUCAUUUAGACCUUUAGCACACCGCGGAGCAGUGUCAAAUCCCAAUUGUCAUUUUCUAGUGGCCCUCCAUGAUAUUGGUGCAUCGCAGAGAGACCCAAUUUUCCAGUUGUCAAUUUCCAGAGGUCCAACGCGAUAAUGGCGCAUCGCGCCAUGUGCUAAAAUGAAAUUUCAAAGGGGCACCACGAUGGCUCUACAUCGCAGACUCUACCCAGUCCAUUUGUCAAUUUCCAGUGAGCUACCGCGACAGUGGCGCAUCGCGGUGGCCACCCGGAUCAGAAAAAGAAUACAUUUUUUAGUUUUGUUUAAUAAUUUAAAAGGGUAUUUGGAAAAUCCCCCAACCCCCAAUCCGUUCAAAAACAUAAGAUUACUCAAAUAUCAAAGCACUUUAUGCCCUAUUCAUUAUUCUCCUCAAAGCAAAACCCUAGUUCAUUAUACUUCCUCUCCAAAAAAACUCAGAAUUCCUUCAUUAAUUCUCCAAGAUACUCCAAAUUUAAGGAUUCCCAAUACAAGAACACUAAGAAUUCAUCUCCAAAGCAUCAAUAGGAAUCCAAGAUUCAAGCCUUUCGUCAAAGAUCAUCAAUUAAGGUAUGCGGGAUUUGAACCAAGAUAAUUCUUUCAUCCUUGUGUCAAAAACUUUGUUUUAAUUACAAACUUUCUGAAUUAUAUAUGAUUUUUCAUGAAUUUCAAGUUGGGGUUUAUACCUAUUAUCAUUAUUUGCAAGAUUAUGAGAUUUUCCAUGAUUUAGAAGUUGAAUUACGUGAUUAUGUUUAUGUUUCCAUCUAUAUUACUGAAAUUUCCAGAUUUUGAGUUGAUUUAUCAAUAUCAUAUUGUUGACACUCAAUUUUUGCUCUCCGUGCCUAAAAUUAACGUCUUCGGGCUUUUUUUUCGUUAAAGGGCACGAAGCAUAAUUUUCACAUCUUUUUAUAAUUUUUUGAUAAAUUAUUGAUAAUUAUCCUUUCUUUAGGAUUUUGAUCAAUUUUUGUCAUAUUUUUAUUUUUUAUAAUUUAUUAAUAUUUUUUCUAAUUUUAGAAUUUUUAUCAAUUCACUAUCGUUCUUAACAAUUUACAAUCACCCGCACACAUACACGACAUGACGUUAUAUAUAUAUAUAUAUAUUUUAAUAAUAUUUUUAAAUUAAUUAUAUUUUAAUAAUUUUAAUGUUCUUUACAUUUUUUCAUUCAACAUCUAUAUUUUAUAGUCCGCAAACGCUGAGUCGGAUCAAUUAUUUUUGCGCAGUAUAAUAAUUCGACGUCUUAUCACAUUCGACAAUAACUACACAAUAAUGUCUUGUCACGUCCGAUAAUGACCACUUAGUAUUGUCUUGUCACAUCUGACAAUGACCACUCAAUGACACUACCCUUUGGACAAUAACUCUAUCCAUUGGUCAAAAGGGUGAACAUCCUUUGGUCAAUAUCUUAAGAACUAAAGGAUGUGCUAUUAUUAAAAGAGGGAACACCCCUUUAUCCAAUGGAUAAUAGGAGUGCCCAAUUUUAUUAUAAAUAGGCAAGGAUGGAAGACAAUUUUAUUCAUCUUUUCUCUCUACACACACAUUUUCAUACACCCACACAUAUUUUUUCUCUCUCUCAAAUACAUACACAAAANNNNNNNNNNNNNNNNNNNNNNNNNNNNNNNNNNNNNNNNNNNNNNNNNNNNNNNNNNNNNNNNNNNNNNNNNNNNNNNNNGUAUUUCUUUGUUUAUGGAUGCUUAAUGAUGGUUAUUGUCACUUCUCAGUGAAUUUUCACAUUUUUCAAUCAUGUUUGAACUAUUAUUUCUAUUUUAUUACAUUACUCUGUUAUACAAUUAGGAAUUUUAUGCUAUUUUUGUUAUUUUCAAUUACUUUGUCAUGGCUACAUCAUUUUUAUUCAUUAACUUUGACCUUUUUGUUAUUUUAUUAUUUUAAUCAUUGAUAAUCGUUUGAAUUUCUAUGUAUGAUUUUGAUAUGCGUUUAGUGACUUUGUUAAUUUUUCGUCAUUUUUAAUUGUUAUUAAAUACCAUUAAUUAUUUGGCCGAUGAAAAUAUCUAUCCGUCGGAUACUUGAGGUCACUCCAUUACAAAUGACGAAUUUUAUUUUCAAUAGAUUGCUAUUUUAAAUCAAAAUAAAUGCUUGGCCAAUGAUAUUAUCUCUCCGUCGGAUACUUGAGGCCACCCCGUGACAAAAGAUGGAUUUUUAUUUCUCAAAGUUUACUUAUUUACAUCAAAAAUAAAUAUUUCGCCAAUGAUAUUAUCUGUCCGUCGGAUACUUGAGGCCACCUCAUUACAAAGACGGACUUUAUUUUUCUCAAGUUUAUUUAUUCAUAUCAAGUAUCAAUACAAUGGCCGAUGAAAAAUUAUUAUUAAUUUGAGGCCUCCGUAAAUAAAAGACGGACUUUACGUGUACAAAUACGUAAUAAAAUAAAUAUUUUGGGCGAUGAUGAAAAUUUAUAACAAUACAAGAUUUUACAAUUCAGAUUUUGACAAGACGAUUUAGGACGGCCAAUUAAUUGAGCAAUCACUUCGUAGUAAAAUGAUUUAGGACGGCCAAUUAAUUGAGCAACCAUUUCGCAGUCAUGACUUUAACUGAGCCCACUUUUUAACAAAAAAAUAUCUUUUUAAAUAUUUAUAUACACACAUACUUGCUCAAUUUAUUUUGAUUAUUAUUUAUUAGUUACUAACAUUUUUACAAGUAUUUAUACAGGUUAUUUGGAUUACUCGUCGAGAGUUGCAUUCAAAGAGGCCCUUUUAAUUUUGUAUUGUAUUUUUAUAUUUGUACAAAUGUUAUUAUAGUGAACACUUUAUUUUUGGGGUGUUGGGCGNNNNNNNNNNNNNNNNNNNNNNNNNNNNNNNNNNNNNNNNNNNNNNNNNNNNNNNNNNNNNNNNNNNNNNNNNNNNNNNNNNNNNNNNNNNNNNNNNNNNNNNNNNNNNNNNNNNNNNNNNNNNNNNNNNNNNNNNNNNNNNNNNNNNNNNNNNNNNNNNNNNNNNNNNNNNNNNNNNNNNNNNNNNNNNNNNNNNNNNNNNNNNNNNNNNNNNNNNNNNNNNNNNNNNNNNNNNNNNNNNNNNNNNNNNNNNNNNNNNNNNNNNNNNNNNNNNNNNNNNNNNNNNNNNNNNNNNNNNNNNNNNNNNNNNNNNNNNNNNNNNNNNNNNNNNNNNNNNNNNNNNNNNNNNNNNNNNNNNNNNNNNNNNNNNNNNNNNNNNNNNNNNNNNNNNNNNNNNNNNNNNNCUUUACAUAAUUUUAAAUAUUUAUAUUAUUUUAUAUUUAAUACAUACACUUCUACAUUAUUUUUUAUACCUCCUCCCUCUUUGAAAAAUUUAGUCUAGCCGGGUACCACACUUGUGGAUUCUGAAGGAUGCCGAACCCUUUUCCUUCGGAAUAACUUGAACCCUUACCUAGAAUCUCAAUUGGUUUUUUUGCAGACUAAAAACAUUAAUCGCAUGUUAAUACUUCAAUAGGUUUCCUUAUUUUCCUUAAAAAUUAGGUGGCGACUCUGUGCAAAUUUUCAUUCUUUUAGAGUCCAUAAUGUCGUGCUCGUUUUAACCUCAGGUAAAAAUAGGGUAUGAAACAUAUUAUCAAGCAUGAACAUUUUGAUGAUUUAAUCUAAGAUUGAUGUAUGGGUCAUUUAUCCCAAGAUUGAUUAUGGUUACUUUUAGAAAGAUGAUGCUUUAAACAUCUUGUAAACAUAUUAUUUUCAUAUUUUCAGAAAAACUUUGAUCUUUGAUCAUUAAUUUAGCUAUGGAAUCCGCUUUACAGAAUUUAAAUCAAAUUUAUUUACAGAUUUGAAAAUUUAAAUGCAUAUUUGGUUUUAGAUAAACCCGUAUGCUAGUUUUAAAAGUGGAUUUCCAACAGAAUGAGCAUAGCAAAAAAUAAGAGAGUAGUAUUUAGCACUGAGUGGGAAGUGUGGGUUUGGCGCAUUCUACUAUCACAGAACUACGUAGACAACGAAGGUACAAAGUAUCAGAUUAUUUCCACUUCUAUGUGGAUGACAGUUACUGAUGUGAUCAUUUAGCUCAGGUUAUACUCCUUGGCAAGAGUAUGACACCUCUCUCCAACAUAAGGUUUCUUUCUUAGGAAGACGAGACGUUGGACUCCAUGUUAGCUCACAUGGUUUAUGUCAGUUAAGAAAACCUUCCUUCAGAUAAAGUAAUUUCUUUAAAGCUCUAAGAUGAAGUAUUUUUUAGAUUUUAGAAACUAAGUGUAAAGGUUCACAAACUUACUCAGAUAUUACUUUACUUAAAAUUUUAGUUACAGAAUUUCAGCUUUUAGUUUUCAGACAUAAAAGAUGAACCCUUUUUCACUUAGCCUAUAUGGUUUGACAACAAGAAUAGAAUACAAAUUUUAGAACUAAGUGUAAUGGCUUACAAAAUUUCGAUUACAUGUUUUAUUAUUCAUGAUUUGACUUUCAGUUUUCAUAUUACUCAAGCUUGCGUGAGCCAUUUACAUUUAGCAUACAUGAUGUUUUCUAUAAACUGUGAUGCUAUUAUUUUCUUAUUGCAUGCACCUCCAUAUACUCAGUAUAUCAUCAAAGUACUGAUCCACAUAUACGUCUAUGUGCUAUAUUGUCUCAUAAUGUAGGUUCAGGUGCUCAGUCUCAGCAGUGAAAGUGAUUAUUGAGAAUCUCAUCUACAUCCCUGCAGUUGGUAAGUCCUCUUAGUUCGGGGACUUAGCUAUUCAGAUUUCCAGUUGCUAGUAAAUAUUUUUAUUAUUCUCUUCAGACAGUCUGAGUCAGCUGAGGCCUGUUCUAGUGACUCUCUAGAUUUAAUUAGUAGAGGCUCGUCGGACUACAAGAUUCACUCAUAGAUUUCAGAUAUCGUAUUUAGAUCAUUCACUAUUUGUUUUAUUAGAUUGAUGUGAUCAACAUUUUUCAGAUAUACUCAGACUUUUCAGAUGGUUUUUCAUAUUUGUCAAUAUCAUAUAUUUAUUUUUCCUUAUUUUGAGAUUCAGAGUUAUUUAAAGGUAGCCAGGGUUAGCUCAGGACUACUUGUAGUUUGGAGCAUAGUGUGGCAUCUUGGGAACCAAAUUUUGAGGUAUUACAAACUUGGUAUCAUAGCCUAAGGUUUAGAGAGUCCUAGGAAUUCAGACAAACCACGUUACAUAGAGUCUUGAUCAUCAGUAUGAAGCGCGCCACAUCUAUGAGCAAGAGGCUAUGGAGUAUUUUAGGAAAUCAUCUCUUCUUUCAUAAUCCAUCGUGCUUACAACUAUCUCUAUCUGCUAUUAACUCAUGCUUUUUUAUGAUAGAAUAUGCCUCCAAUUAGAUCUAAUACGCAUAUAAAUGAUAACCAACCACCUCAACUCACAGAUCCUUUGAAUGAGAAUGUGUCACAUACAGAAUUUUGUGCUGCCUUUCAAGUGCUAGACCAAGCGGUGACAGCAAAUUUUUAGGGUAACCAUUAGGCUAUAGCCCCACGUCAGCAAGAUGGGACUUAGCCACAGCUAGAAUUCAAGAUUUUAUGAGAAUAAACCCACCAGAGACCCACAACUUUAUCUAUUUAAAGUGAAGAAAAUCACCCAAAUUAUGCAUAUUUCUGAAGAAGAAAGUCUAGAGUUAGCAUCCUAUAGACUAAAGGAUGUUUCUUAUGAUUGGGUAGUGAUGUCGAAAAGAGUAUAGGGGAAAAUCCAGCUCGCAUGACUUGGAAGAUAUUUUAGGAUGUGUUCUUAGACAAGUUCUUCCCAUUUGAGAUAAGGGAAGAUAAGAUAGAAGAGUUCAUGAACCUGAGGCAGGGCUCUAUGAUAUUGAAGGAGUAUUGGCUCAAGUUUAAUCAGCUGUCUAAGUAUGCCCUUGAUCAGAUGACCGACUCUGGAACAAAUAUGAGUAAGUUUAUGAUCGGUGUGUCUGGGUUGGUGGUUAAGAAGUGUAGAACUGCUAUACUUAACAGGGACAUGAACCUUUCUAGAUUGGUGAUGCAUGAUCAGCAGAUUAAGGCAUAAAAGAUGAAAGAGAGAGAGAGAGUAAAUAAGAGGGCUAGAACAGGGCAGUUUGAUCAUGGUCAGAAUAGGUUUGGAUAAGAAAAUCAUUUGCAGUUUCAGAAUCAUUCAUCCAUGACUGCAGCUUCUUCAGCUAGUGCUCCUGCACCCAAAAAUAGGUAGGAACAGUGAGGUAACUCAUCUAUGCCCAGAUCUCAAAGUAGUGUGGGUGGUAGGCCCAGUUAUCCUCAGUGUUCUAAGUGUGGUAAAAAUCAUCCUGGCGAGUAUUUGGUUGGUCAGAAAGGUUAUUUUGGGUGUGGUAAGUUGGGCCACAACAUUCGAUAUUGUCUGCAUGCUAGACAGCGAAAUAGGGAAGAACACCCUCAAACUUAGGCUAAUAGUGCACUAGCUCCUCUAGGUCGCUCAGCCCCUUCUUAGGGUGCUUCAUCCAGUACUGGUAGCGGUUAGUACCAAAAUUGGUUCUAUGCUUUACCAUCGCUCCAGGAGCAGGAGGAUUCUCCAGAUGUUAUUAUCAGUAUGCUUCGUGUCUUUUAUUUUGAUGUUUAUGUGUUGUUAGACCCUAGGUCGAGUUUCUCUUAUGUGACCUCAUUAGUUACAGCAAAUUUUGAGGUAAGUUUCAAAAAAAUCCCUGAGCCUUUCCUGGUUUCUAAUCCAUUAGGUGAGUCAGUUGUUGCUAAGCGAGUCUAUAAAAAGUAUUCUACCACUGUUCUUCAUAGAGUCAUGUUAGCAGAGUUGAUAGAGUUAGACAUGGUUGAUUUUGAUCUUAUUAUUGGUAUGGAUUAGCUCCAUUCCUAUGAUGCUUCUAUAGAUUGUCGCACCUGAGUGGUGAAGUUUCAGUUUCCAGAUGAGCCAGUCUUUGAGUAGGAAGGUAAUUCAGUGUCUCCGAAGAGUCAUUUCAUAUCUUAUCUUAAAGCCAGAAAGUUGAUUUUCAAAGGUUGCAUCUAUCAUCUAGUUUGAGUUAAAGAUACUAAGUCUGAGACUCCAACAGUUCAGUCAGUCAAUAUAGUGAAUGACUUUCCUGAUAUUUUCCCAGAAGAUCUCCCAGGGGUGCCUCUCAAAAGGGAAAUAGAAUUCGGUAUUAACCUUUUUCCUGAUACUCAGCCUAUUUUUAUCCCUCCAUAUCGUAUGGCUCUCACAGAGCUUAAAGAUUUGAAAGAGCAACUCAAAGAUCUUUUAGAUAAGGGUUUCAUAAGGCCUAGUAUUUCUCCAUGGGGCGAUCCCCGUCCUAUUCUUGAAACAAAAGAUGUUUCUUUGUGAAUGUGCAUUGACCAUCAGCUAAAUAAGGUAACCUAUUUGACCUAUUUGACCAAUUGCAAGGUGCAAGUUAUUUCUCAAAGAUAGACCUUAGAUCCUGCUAUCAUUAGCUUAAAGUAAGGGAAUGUGAUAUUCCAAAGAUAGCUUUCAGAACUCGUUAUGGUCAUUUUGAGUUUCUAAUCAUGUCUUUUGGGCUAACUAACGCCCCAGCAGCUUUCAUGGACCUCAUGAAUCAAGUGUUCAAACAAUAUCUAGACAUGUUUAUAAUAGUAUUCAUAGAUGAUAUCCUUGUAUACUCCCGCAGUGAGGAUGACCAUGCAGACCACCUUAGAAUUGUCUUGCAAACUCUUAGAAAGCAUUAAUUGUUUGCCAAAUUCAGGAAGUGUGAAUUUUGGCUAAGGUUAGUCGCGUUUCUCAGUCAUAUUGUUUCCGCCGAUGGCAUUAGAGUUGAUCCUCAAAAGACAGAACCCGUAAAAAAUUAGCCUAGACCUAUCUCUCUAUCAGACAUUAGGAGUUUCCUGGGUUUAGCUAGCUAUUACCACCGUUUUAUUGAAGGUUUCUCAUUUAUUGCGUCUCCUAUCUAGAUUGAUCCAAAAGAAAGUUAUGUUCUUGUGGUUGGACUCCUACUGGGAGAGUUUUUAGGAGUUAAAGACUCGACUUACUUCAACCUCACUCUUAGCAUUACCUAAUGGUACAGAUGGCUUUAUUGUUUAUUGUGAUGCCUCUAGAGUUAGUUUGGGUUGUGUGUUAAUGCAGAGAGGUAAGGUCAUAGCCUUUGCCUCUUGACAGUUGAAGCUUCAUGAAAAAAAUUACCCAACCCAUAAUCUGGAAAUAGCUGCUAUGGUAUUUGCUUUGAAAAUCUGGAGACAUUAUCUAUAUGGUGUACAUGUUGAUGUGUUCACGGACCAAAAAAGUUUGUAGUAUGUGUUUACGCAGAGGGAUUUGAAUCUUUGUCAGAGAAGGUGGUUAGAGUUGUUGAAAGAUUAUGAUAUGAGUGUGUUGUAUCAUCCGAGAAAGGCUAAUAUAGUGGCAGACGCCCUUAGUAGAUUGUCUAUGGGUAAUGUUGCCCAUGUGGAGAAAGAUAAGAAAGAGUUAGCUUGAGAAGUUCAUCAUUUAGCUAGAUUGGGUGUUAGGUUGGUUGACUCAGCUAAAGGUAAUAUUUGGGUUCAAAGUAGUUUCGAAUCUUCCUUAGUUUUGAAUGUAAAGGAGAAAUAAGACAUUGAUUCUAGUUUGGUCAAACUGAAGGAAUUGAUUAAAUACCAAAAGGUAGAGGUUUUCUCCCAAGGGGGAGAUGGUGUGUUGAGAUACCAGAGUAUAUUAUGUGUGCCUUGUGUUGAUGAUUUGAGGCAGCGGAUUAUGGCGGAAGUGCAUAGUGUACGGUAUUCUAUUCAUCCAGGUGCUACCACGAAGUACCGCGACUUUUGAGAAAUCUAUUGGUGGAGUGGUAUGAAAAAAGAUAUAGCAGAAUUUGUAGCCAAGAGUGAAACUUGUAAAUAGGUUAAGGUGGAGAACCAAAGACCUAGUGGUAUGUUGCAAGAGUUUGGUAUCCCCACCUAGAAGUGGGAAGAGGUGAAUAUGGAUUUUGUGACUAGUUUACCCCAAUCGCGUCGUCAUCAUGACUCGAUUUGGGUUAUUGUAGACAGAUUGACUAAGUUAGCGCAUUUCUUGCCAGUUCACAUGUCCUAUAUAGUUGAAGAUUAUGCCAAGUUGUAUAUCCGAGAGUUAGUCAGAUUUCAUGGAGUUCCCUUGUCUAUCAUUUCAGAUAGGGGUACUCAGUUCACUUUCCAGUUUUGGAAAUCCUUUCAGAAGGGUCUUGGUUCCCAAGUCUACCUUAGCUCAGUUAUUCACCCUUAGACAGACGAUCAGGAAGAGAGGACCAUCCAAACUCUAGAAGAUAUGUUGAGGGCAUAUGCUCUUGAUUUCAAGGGUAGUUGGGAUAAGCAUUUUCCAUUGAUUGAGUUCACUUAUAAUAAUAGUUAUCAUGCUAGCAUUCGAAUGGCUUCGUUUAAGGCUCUUUAUAGGAUGAGAUGUAGAUCACCCAUAGGUUAGUUUGAAGUGGGUGAGGCCAUUUUUCUUGGGCCUGAUGCAGUGUUUGAGGCCAUGGAGAAAGUUAAGUUGAUUAGAGAAAGAUUAAAAAUAGCCCAGAGUCGUCAGAAAUCCUAUGUAGAUAUGAGAAGAAGGGACCUCAAGUUUGAGGUUGGUGAUUUUACGUAUCUGAAGAUUUCACCCAUGAAAGGGGUGAAGAGAUUUGGCAAGAAAAGAAAUCUUAGUCCCCGAUAUGUUGGCCCUUAUAGAAUUUUAAGUCGUGUUAGGGAAGUAGCUUAUGAGCUUGAGUUGCCCACAGACUUGUCAUCCGUUUAUCCUAUGUUCCACGUCUCCAUGCUUAAUAAGAGUAUCGGUGACUCUACCAUUGUAUUUCCUUUAGAAAGAUCCUAUAUUUAGAACAGCCUUUCGUACGAAGAGAUUCCAGUUGAGAUUUUAGAUUACCAAAUUCGUAGACUAAGGAACAAAGAAGUUUCCUUGGUCAAAGUUCUUUGGCAGAAUCAGUUGGUUGAGGGAGCCACUUGGGAAGCAGAAGAAGAUAUGCGAGCCAAGUACCCUCACUUUUUCUCUGCAGACUUAGAUUUAGCCGAAGGUAAUACUCUUCCUUAACUUAGUUUCUUUCUAAUCACAGAUUCAGCUAUAUAAUCGUCUUCAUGUAAGUUCAUGCACUCACAGAUUACUCAGAAGCUUAGAAUGAUUUAGAUUCAGUUGCUCAGUUCACUUCAGUUGUGCAUGCUAUCUUAUUUCUUAGAUUCCUCAGAAAUUUCAUCUUAACUAGUCACAUUCGAUAAUGAAUGUUUCAAAGGGGUAGAUAUUGUAAUACCCCGCGAUUUUUCCUAGCUUAAACUCGUCCUAAAAAUGACUAGGAGUAGCUUAUAGAAUGAGUAAUGCUUAUUUCGUAUGGAAUUCUUCAGAUUUGGACUUUUUAUGGCGUAUAAAUUUGAAUUAGCUUCCCAACGAUAUAAGAUUCACCUAAAUCUGAUAACCGGGUAAGAAGUUAUGGCUAUUUAAAGUUCAAGUCGCGAAACACCGUCAUUUAGACCCUUAGCACGCCGCGAAGUAGUGUCAAAUCUCAAUUGUCAUUUUCCAAUGGCCUUCCGCCAUAUUGGUGCAUCUUGGAGAGGGCCAAUUUUCCAGUUGUCAAUUUCCAAAGGUCCAGCGCAAUAAUGGCGCGUCACGCUAUGUGCCAAAAUGUCAUUCCAAAGGGGCACCGCGAUGGCUCCACAUCGCAGAGUCUACCCAGUUCCUAUUUGUCAAUUUUUAGUGAGCCACCGCGAUAGUGGCACAUCGCAGUGGCCACCCAGAUAGGGAAAAAAUACGUUUUCCAGUUCCAUUUAAGAAUUUAAAAGGGGUAUUUUGGUAAAUCCCCUAAUCCUCAAUCCAUCCAAAAACAUAAGAUUACUCAAAUAUCAAAGCACUUUAUGCCCUAUUUAUCAUUCUCCUCAAAGCAAAACCCUAGUUCAUAAUACUUCCUCUCUAAGAAACUCAGAAUUCCUCUGUUAAUUCUCCAAGAUAGUUCAAAUUUAAGGAUUCCCAAUACAAGAACACUAAGAAUUCAUCUCCAAAGCAUCAAUAGGAAUCCAAGAUUCAAGUCUUUCAUCAAAGAUCAUCAAUUAAGGUAUGUGGGGUUUGAACAAGGAUAAUUUUUUCAUUCUUGUGUCCAAAACUUUGUUUUAAUUUCAAACUUUCUGAAUUAUAUAUGAUUUUCCAUGAAUUUUAAGUUGGGGUUUAUGCCCAUUAUCAUUAUUUGCAAGAUUAUGAGAUUUUUCAUGAUUUAGAAGUUGAAUUACAUGAUUAUGUUUAUGUUUCCAUGUAUAUUGCUUAAAUUUCUAGAUUUUGAGUUGAUUUAUCAAUAAUCAUAAUAUCAAACAUGAACAUUUUGAUGAUUUAACAUAUGAUUGAUGCAUGGGUUAUUCAUUCCAAGAUUGAAUAUGGUUACUUCUAGAAAGAUGAUGCUUUAAGCAUCUUGUGAACAUAUUAUUCAGAUUUUUAGAAAAACUUUGAUCGUUGAUCAUCAGUUUAGCUAUGGAAUCCAUUUUGUAGAAUUUAGAUCAGCUUUAUUUAUGAUUUAAAAAGAUAAAUAUAUAUUUAGUUUUAUAUAAACCCUUAAGCUAGUUUUAAAAGUGGAUUUCCAACAGAAUGAGCAUAGCAAAUAAUAACUGAGUAGUAUUUAGCAUUGAGUGGGAAGUGUGGGUUUAGUGCAUCCUACUGCCACAGAACUACGUAGCCAACGUAGGUACAAAUUAUCAAAUUAUUUCCGCUUCUCUGCGGAUGACAGUUACAGAUGUGAUCACUUAGCUCAUGUUAUACUCCUUGGCAAGAGUAUGACACCUCUCCCUAAUGUGAGGUUUCUUCUUUAGAAGGAUGAAACGUUGGACUCCAUAUUAGCUCACAUGGUUUAUGUCGAUUAAGAGAAACUCCCUUCAGAUAAACUAAUUUCUUUAAAGCUCUAAGAUGAAGUAGUUUCCAGAUUUUAGAAACUAAGUGUAAAGGCUCACAAACUUAAUCAGAUAUUACUUUACUUAAGAUUUUAGUUACAGAAUUACAGCUUUUAGUUUUCAGACAUAAAAGGUGAGCCAUUUUCACUUAGCCUAUAUGAUUUGAGAACAAGAACAGAAUAUAGAUUUCAGAACUAAGUGUAAUGGCCCACAAGAUUUAGAUUACAUGUUUUAUUAUUCAUGAUUUGAAUUUAAAUUUUUAUAUUACUCUAGCUUAUGUGAGUCAUUUACAUUUAGCAUGCAUGAUGUUUUCUAUAAAUUGUAAUGUUAUUGCUUACUUAUUGAAUGCACCCCCAUAUACUCAGUACAUCAUCAAAGUACUGAUCCACAUAUACGUCUAUAUGUUAUAUUAUCUCAUAAUGUAAGUUCAGGUACUCAGUCUCAUCAGCGAGAGUAAUUUUUGAGCAUCUAAUCUACUUCCCUACAGUGGGUGAGUCCUCUUAGUUCGGGGACUUAGCUAUUCAAAUUUCCAAUUGCUAGUAAAUAUUUUUAUUAUUCUCUUCAGACAGUCUGAGUCACUUGGGACCUAUCCUAGUGACUCUCUAAAUUCAGUUAGUAGAGGCUUGUCGGACUACGAGAUUCAGUCUUAGAUUUCAAAUGUCGUAUUUAGAUCAUUCAGUAUUUAUUUUAUUAGAUUGAUGUGAUCAUCAUUUUCAGAUAUACUCAGACUUUUCAGAUGGUUUUCUGUAUUUGUUAGUACCAUAUAUUCAUUUUUUCCUAUUUUGAUCUUCAGAGUUAGUAGAAGGUAUCCAGGGUUAUCUUGGGACUACUUGUAGUUCGGAGCACUGUGUGGCAUCUCGGGAGCUAGAUUUUGAGGCAUUAUAGGAACCUUUUCAAAGUCCAUCAGAACUGGAAGUUUACAGAAGUUAAUUAGGUUUAGCUCAUACAAGGGAUAACAGUUCAGCUAAAAUUUGGAUAUUCUGGAAUGAUAAAUGGGAAUAAAUGGGUUUAACAGACUCAAUACAACAACUGACAAUGGAAUACAAGCUAAGGGGAAGAAAUGUCAGUUUCAAGAUCACAGUUGUGUAUGCUAGAUGUAGUAGCCUGGACAGACUGGAAUUAUGGGAAGAUUUGGAAGAUAUUGCAAUGAAUACUCAAGUUCCUUGGUUAGUUGGAGGUGAUUUUAACACUAUACUAGAUGAUUCAGAAAAACUAGGUGGGUUACCAGUGACACAACAGGAAAUAAGUGAUUUUUCUUAGUGUAUAGUUGCUUGUGCACUAAAUAAAUUGAAGUUUACAGGAAGAAUAUUUACAUAGUGGAAUGGCAGAAUUCAGGAGGAUUGCAUUUUUAAAAGAUUGGAUAGAGUUUUUGCUAAUAAUAUGCUUUUGGAGAUAAUACCAUACUGUGAAGUUCACUAUUUAAUCAGGCAGGGGUCAGAUCAUGCACCCCUUUAUGUUACCUAUAACACUGAUCAAGUUCAGGUGAAGAAGUCUUUUAGGUUCCUAAAUUCUUAUACCAAGCAUAAAGACUUUCAGAUGAUAGUGCAAGAUAGUUGGAAGGACAAUAUCAUGGAAUCCCCUUUUUAUUUAGUGCAUGAAAAAUUUGUGGUGUGGAUUAAAGAGAUUUAUGGUGACAUCUUUCAAAAAGUUGCAACUCUUGAGGAUAUGAUAAAGGAUAAGGAAGCUCAAUUCAAAAUCCAUCCAUCCCUUGAAAAUAGAGAGAAAUUGAGCAAGGCAGAGGCAAAUCUAAAAAGAAUGUUGAAGAUUGAGGAGGAGUUCUGGAAACAAAAGGCUGGGAUGAAAUGGUUUAAAGAUGGAGACAGGAACACUAAAUUUUUUCAUUCAUAUGUCAGAGGCAGUAGAAGGGAAAUACGAAUUGCAGAGAUACAAACAUAACAAGGGGAUGUUAUAACAACUCCACAUAAUAUUGGAGAGGAGGCAAUAAAUGUCUUCAAGGAGCAGUUUAUGGAAUUAUAGAAUUUUGUACAACAUGAGAUUCUCAAUUACAUCAACAAAACCAUUAUUGAUGAUUAGAAUAAAAGAAUGGAAAGGAUUCCAAACAAAGAGGAGAUUAAAUAGGUGGUUUUAUCUUUAAAUUGGGAGAGUGCAAGUGGACCAGAUGGUUUUUCAGGAAAAAUUUUCAGAGUUGCUGGAAUAUUAUUAAGAAAGAUAUCACUAAAUUGGUCAAAAUUUUCUAUAGUAGAAGUGAAUUACCCAGGUGUAGUACUCAUACCAAUUUAGUCUUAAUUCUAAAAAAGGAGAUAGUGAUACUUAUGGUGAUCUGAGACCUAUUAGUCUUUGUACUUUUGUUAACAAAAUAAUUUCUAAGGUAAUUCACUUGAGAAUUGUGAAAGUUCUGCCAAACAUAAUCUUUAAUAAUCAAUCUGGGUUUGUAAAGGGAAGAAGCAUCACUAAAAAUGUGCUACUUCCCAAGAAAUUAUUAGAGAUAUAAACAGAAGGAAUAAAUUUCAUAAUGUUGUGGUGAAAUUGGAUAUGAAAAAGGCUUAUGAUAGGGUCUCAUGUAAAUUUUUAGUGGUGGUUCUGAGGAGGUUUGGUUUCUCAAAAAGAGUGAUUGUUAUGGUAGUGAGGUUGGUUAGUAAUAAUUGGUAUUCGGAGCUUAUGAAUAGGCAAUCAUAUGGUUUCUUUCAAUCAUGAAAGGGUUUGAAGCAGGGUGAUCCAUUGUCACCAACUUUAUUUAUCAUAUCAACUGAAGUUCUAUCAAGAAGCUUAAAUGAACUCUUUAUUAAUUCGGAAUUCAAAGGGUAUAGUAUGCCAAAGUGGAGUCCUGAUAUUAAUCUUCUAGCUUAUACAGAUGACACUAUUCUAUUUUGCUCUAGACAUACUUACUCAAUUAAGAAGAUGAUGGGGGUUUUGAGAAGAUAUGAGGAAGUCUCGGGACAGAUGAUUAACCAUGAAAAAAGUUUGAUUUAUUUUCAUAGAAGAUUCCUAAUAGAGUCAGCAGCAAGAUAAGGAGGAUUACUGGAAUAAGACAAGGUAAAUUCCCUUUUACAUACUUAGGAUGUCCUAUUUUCUAUGGCAGAAAGAAUAAAGGACAUUUUGAAGAAUUGAUCAAGAAGGUAACUAAGAGACUUCAUGCUUGGCAGAAUAAAUAACUUUUUUAUGAGGGAAGAUACAACUUAAUUGAUCAUGUCUUACAAUCCAUUCCCAUCUACACUUUCAGCCAUGAAUCUACCAAUUAGUGUCAUCAAUCAGCUUCAUAAGAUUUUUGAAAAGUUUUUUUGGGGUAAUGCCACAGGAGCAAAGAAUAAAUAUUGGGUGAGUUGGGAGAAAAUAUGUCACCCAAGGAAUGAAGGAGGACAGGGAUUUAGAUCUUUGCAUGAUAUGUCCAAAGCUUUAUUUGCAAAACUUUGAUGGAUAUUAAGAACUUCAACAUCUUUACUUUGGUUUCAUUCAUGUGGAAUAAGUAUUGUAAAAGAUUACAUCCUUUAAUCACUAAAGGAUUUAGAGCCUCUUAUGUAUGGAGAAAAAUGAUUUUGGUGAGUGAAGAGGUGGAAACUAAUAUAUGGUGGCAAGUAAAGGCUGGCAACUUAAGCUUUUUGUAUGAUAAUUAGAAUAAACAAGGAGCUCUAUAUUAUGUAGAAGAUGAGAAUAUUCAAGAUGAGGAAAUUGAAAUUAGAAAUUUUGUCAAAAAUGGAUAUUGGGACAGACAGUUACUCUUAUUAGCUAUAUCUGAAAAAUGGUGGAUCUUAUUGUGUAAAUAGUAAAACCUCCAGUGAAAGGGUUUCAAAAUGAUACUUCCUAGUGGAUGGGAAAUACCAAUGGUCUUUUUACUAUCAAGUCUGCCUGGAACUGUAUCAGGAAAAGAAAAGAGAAAAGAAGAGAUUAUGAGUUCAUUAGGAAUAAAAAGUUUCCUUUUAAAUACAACUUCUUUCUUUCGAGGGUGUGGAUCAGAAGAAUUCCAACAGAUGAUAAUCUAAAGAGAAUGAAAAUUUAGUUGGUAUCAAGAUAUUGUGCUGUGACUCUAAAAAUGAGGAGACAAUGGACCAUGUUUUACUAACAGCCUCUGUAGUCAAUAGGCUUUAGAGGCAGUUUUGCUCAUUUUACAGGUAUACAUAUGGAGAACAUGCAACUAAAGCAAUCAAUUGUGUCAGGGUGGAAUAAGGAAUCCAAUCCAAAACUGACAAGGAUUUUCAAAGCAUUACCAGCCAUAAUUAUGUGGACAUUAUGGAGGAGAAGAAAUUGCAUAAAACAUGGAGGCUCUAUGUCGUUUACAAGGCUGGUAGAACAAGUACAGGAAGUGAUUAAGAAGAUGAUUAAUAGCUUAUUUCCUUGGAUUAAAAUAAAUUCACAGACAUGGCCAGAGGUAGUUGAAAUAUUAGGAGUUUACAAACCUAAGAUCCAUUAUCAUAAGGUAGUAUGGUCAAAGCCAGGAGUUGGAUAGGUUAAAUACAACAUAGAUGGAGCUAGCAAGGGCAAUUCGGGAUUGAGUUCUUAUGGCUUUUGUAUUACAGAUGACAAAGGUGACUUGAUUUAUGCUAGAGCUAAAGGUUUGGGGGUUUGUACUAACACCAUAGCUAAAGCUUUGUCUAUCAAGAAGGCUUUGGAAUACUGUCAUGAAGUAAACCUUAAGGAUUUUGGUAAUACCCCAAUUUUCUAAACCGAAAUGCUACACGGUGCUCAUGACCCCAAAGGACCACAAGCUAACCCAUGACUGAUAUCUGUACCUGUAUACUACAUAAAAUACUAAAAAAUACAUAAACAUGUACUAAACGGCCAUAAGGUUUAAAUCUAAAUAAACAUCAGAUAUGAACAAUGUCUAAAAGUGAUAUAACAAUACCAAAACAAAUCUGAAAUAACUGUCUGACAUGCUAUAGUCUUAAAGACUCUAAACUGUCUGAAUAAGGAGUUGAUGGAAUAUGUCCCCAACUAACUCCAUCUACUAAAAUAAUUAAGUACUGAAAGAAUGAACUAAUCAAAUACUAUUAUCCUCGAAUGAUGAGGACUUACUGCUAACUCUGUCUGCUGAAAUCUGAAAUACUAUUGAUGCUCUGGAGCUCGUUCUUCUAAACCUAUGGUAUAAGACACUAUAGCACAAAUGCUUCAGUACUUUGAAUGUACUGGUAUGCAAGUAAGGUAGGCUAAAUUCAAAGGGUUAUAUGAAUGAACAAUGCUGACUGAUAUGAACGUGAGAAUACAUACAUACAUAAGUGAAUGUAACUAAACUCGUGGUGAUACUGACUACGGAGUCUGAAUAUUGACAACAUGAGCUUACUGAUACUGAGAUACUGAUUGAUUGAUUUUACUGAUAUUAAUAUGUAAGUCACUUAUAAGUAGGCAACUAAUACUAUAUUGUUGAAUACUAAAGGACUGAAAUUAUAUUACUGAUACAUGAAUAACUAUUUCUGAUAGUUCUAAUUAUGAAGAACUGGCAUGGUUUACUGUAUCUGAUAGUCUAAUUAUAAAGAAUUAAUUUGAUUGAUUGUAUCUGACAGCUAUGAAUAUGAAGAAUUGAUAUGCUUGACCGUAUCUAAUAGUCCUAAAUGUGAAUACUGAUAAUAUGAGUUUUGAUAACUGAUAACAUUAGUGACUGUAUCUGACAGUCCUAAAUCUGAUGGAACUAACUGAGUUCCGUACUAUAUCUGAGUUAACUGUAUCUGACAGUCAUAAAAUUUGAAGGACUAUCUGAGUUCUUUUACUGAGACUGAGAAUGAAAAUGAAACUGAGACUGUGGGAAGUAGCCAUCUAACUGACAUGCCUUGAAUCUGAACUGGUGGGGUUCAACCUAUAACUCCAGCUGGAAGGGUAUCAAUACCAUGCCACGAGUAGAGACAACAUGUGAGUAAACCCUAUUCUGUUUAGGAGCUCUUUUCGUCUUCCCUUACUAUCAGGUAAACUCAAAUGAGAUGUAUUAUCCCUAUGUGUAGAGACAUCUCAACCUACGCUGGCUACGUAGUUCUGGAACUUAGGGAUUGCUUCUAGGGAUCUCAGUCCUAUCUAGCAGGUGAGUCCCCAUCCCUAGGCUCACUCGAUGCUGAAUCCUACUCCCAACUGAAGGACACUGAACUGAUUAGCUGAGCUGAACUGAUUAACUGAAUUAAAAUGAUUAGCUAAACUAAUGUUAGUGGGAUUAUUUAGUGGAGCUAAAUUGAGUUUACUAAGUUUCGUUGACUGACGGAAUGUACUGAUGUAUGAGGAUUAACUGAGAGUACUGUAGUUAUUGAGUUUUACUUGGAAUACUUCUGAAUUCUACUUUCUAUCUGAAUAAGGCUGAACUUUACUAGCUGAUGAGGUUACUGAGGUUCUAAACUGAAUACUUACUGAGACAUGAUAACUAGCUGAGAUUACUGAACUACUGAAACUACUGAGAUUUCUGAGUUUUCCUGAGUGACAUGACUAACUGAAUUCUAUGGAUCAUGGCUUGACUGAGAGUAUCGUGAUAACAUGACAUGGCUCUGGGCACACAGCUAUAUUUUUUGGGUAUGAGUACCCCCAGAACUCGAUGGAAGGAAACUAACAAACAUGAAUUUCUUUAAUGCAUGACCAACAUCAACAUUCCAUAAUAUCAUAACUUGGGAAAUUUCAUGAAGUACAUGGUUAUCAUACAUCUUUUACAUAAGUGGGAUUCUUGCAAGUAAGUAUAGCAUAAUCUCAUAAGACUAGUUCAUGAACAAUCCAACAACAUUUACAAGACACAAUAUCAACAUGAAAAUCAUUGGAGCAUAGGGGCAUAUCAUGAAUCCUUUACUUAGUCACAAUUUAGCUAUAUUGCAUGAUAUCUAGUUUCUUAGGCAUUUUAUCAAGCACCUUACAUGCACAAUUUUGGGCAUAGGUAUAUUUAUCAACAUAACAAUCUUAAUCCAUCUAAAAUUCAUGGGUACAACUAUCCUACUCAUAUGCUUCAUGAAAACAUAUCAAGAUACAACCUUGAACUAAAAUAAUAAUCAUCAACAUGAAUAUAGUCAUAACACAACAAGAAAAUCACAAUUUAUAAUUUAAAAUAUGAUUCUUGAGCUCUAUGGAUGAAAGGUAUCCAUGGAUGAACACUACGAAUACUUUAAAGCUUGAUCUUGAAAGAGAUCUAAUGUUUCUUGGAGGUUCCUGAAGAAAUCCUUAGGCUUGCUCUUGAUUUUUCUUGACUAGGGUUUAACCCCUUUUGGAGUGAAUGUUCUUGUUCUUGAGGAGAUGAUCUUGAGAGAAAACCCUAAUCUUGUGGUUGAGAGUGUAUGCAAGAAUUUUUGAGAUGUUUAACUGAAGAAAAAUAGGAGAAAGUUACGUCCCUUGAGGGUUUUAAGUCGUGGAAAGUGAAGAAAAAGAUCAAAAUACCCUUACGAAACCACUUCCUAAUUGCUGAAUUUAUCAGCUGACAACCAAGGUUGAUAAGCCGUCAAAUCCUUGAUAGCCCGUCAGCCCAGGUAGUCACCUGGGAGCUGAAAUUUUUGGAUUUCUGCCUAGGCCUGAAGACAUUCGUGAUAAGCCGUUAGGCUUGUGAUAAGUUAUAAUAAAAUGUCGUCACUCAGUUUUCGAGCCUGAUAUGCUGGAGUAAAAUGGGCAUAACUCUUUGCUAUGAUAUCGAAUUUAGGAAAAAUUGGUAUCGUUGGAAAGAUAAUUCAACUAUAUAUAUUUUAGUAGGUCAUGAGCACAACAAUUCGAAGUAUAAAGAGAUAUAUUCUCAUUUGAAGUUGACUAUAGCAAUAUCCUUCCCAAGAAUUCAAUCGGUAAGGAAUGUUUUGAUUCGUUUGAUAGUUGGGAGUUAUUUGAAGACUUAAUAUACAUCUAACUUGCUCAUAAAAUUAUGACAAAAUCAUGAUGUAAUAUACGUGAGCUUGAAACAUGGCACUAAUAUUGGUUUGGACUUUUCGGAGUAUUAUAAUUUUAUACUGGAAACAAACUCUUUAUGCCUUAAAAAUAUGAUUUCGAAGCAAUGGAAAAUUCCCUGGGAAGUUGCUGAAAUUAUGGAAAACAUCAAAAAUUUUGUUCAUGUCCUUAAUAUUACAAUUUCUCACAUUUUCAGGGAAGGGAACACAGUUGCUGACUCACUAGCAAAUGAGAUUAUUGAAUCACAAGGACAAAAGGACUAACAUGUUUUUCAACAACUUCCAACACAGAUAAGGAAAUAAUUAAACAUAGAUAAAUACCAAAUUCUACAACUUUGAAUCAAGACUCGUAGGAUAGUGCAACAAUGAAGAUAGAUAACAGUAGUUAUUUACCCCAUAAAACUUUAACAUCAUUCACAAGUCAUCAAGCAAGAAGUAAAGGAAAGAAACAACACAGAAGAGUAAGUUUUAAUGUAUGCCCGAAAGAAGGAAUGAGAUCUGUGUUAAGCAAAGUUAGAUGUACUACACUAGCUAUAAAUUCUACACCAAAAAGUGGGGAAGAUAUCCAGCAUCUUCAACCAACAUAUGGACACAUCUGGGUGAACUGGAGAGAAUCUGAUCGUACAUGGUCAAAACCACAUAAAGAUGAGUGCAAGAAAUUACAGAAAAAGCUAAAAAUGAAGACAAGUCAGAGAGAGAUUCAAGCACCUGAUGAGAGUGAGGUACAUAAGUAGAGCAGUAGCAAAAGUAGCAAUGGAUUCACUCGAAACAUCACCUAAAAGAGGAAGACAUGUAGCUGGAGUUCCAUCAGCAACAUUGUUGAAGACGGCGAUGAGCUUCAAAAAAAAGUACUUAGUACUUUUGUAUUAGCCUUUUAUCUAAUAGAAAAAUUAGGAAACCUUUUCAAUUUCCAAUUUUCGGACCCAAUCUUGGAUUGGACCAGGUCCUUUUUUGUGCUUUGGAUUUUUGUAAACUUGGCCAAUGGGCUUCUUAUUGAUAAAAUGGUCUAAAAGAUCAACAAAAAUUCAUCUAAAAAAAAACUAAUUCUGGUCGGGAACCACAUUUGUGAAUUCUCAAUGGUGCCUAAUCCCUUCCCUUUGGAAUAAUUUGAACCCUUAUCUGGAAUCUAAAAUAAUUUUGUAGACUAAAAUAAAGUCAGACUUGUUAAUAAAUAAAUAGGUUUCCUUAUUUUUCUUAAAAAUUAGGUGGCGAAUCUGUACAAAUUAAUUCUUUUUAGAGUCCAUAAUGUCGUGCUAGUUUUGAACUUAGGUAAAAAAUGGGUAUGACAGUUUGGCGACUUUGCUGGGGAUUGCAAUGUUCUAACCAUUACAGAUUUAGGUAAAUAUUUUUAAUUUUUCGACAUUAUUGUUUGUUUCUUUCUAAUUGACUUGAUUUAUCUUGUUUGUAUGGCAAAAAAUUGUUAUUUGUUUUAUAUAGCUUAUUUACUUAUUUAUUGCUUUAUAUAAACUGUCAUUCCGUUCAUAUUUUUUCCAUUUGGGAAAGCUGACACAAUCACACAUACAAGUGAGGUGUGUUUUUCGCACCCGUAAAUUUCUUUCAAAAUCCUAAAGUUUAGGAGAGUUGGUGUAUGUGCGGGGUGUUCAAAUCUUUUUCUGUGUGCCCAUGUAGCCUUCUCACUUGUGUAGUCUGCUCGACUCACUCUUAGUCGAACAUAGGAUAAAGUUAAAACAACAACUUUUAGGCACAUGCAUCAGUAGUCAACUUUAUGUUCUAAGGGUUGACAAUCCACGUGACACAUUAUUAUAGUCUUUGUACAUAUUUGAAGGAUUAUUGUAUCUGUACUUAUUCAUUUGUUCUAAAUUGUUUAUUCUUUUGUGGGAAGGCAUAACCUAAUCUUUGUUUUGCAUGGUUGAUCAGUUAAAAGAUACACCUUACCAACAUCGCCACUAGUUACGUAUGAGUUUGAACUACGUUUUGACCUGAUUCUUGUCCUGAAAAGAUACGUAGGCAACCCUGCAUUAGGGUUUGAUCUCUUCACUAUUUUAGAAUAAUUUCUCAGGUAUUCAAACUGGAGCAAUUUUCUGAAACAGUUCAAAGACGCUCUCCAAAAGCCUUCAAGAACGCAAUUUAAUAUCUCCUCAAAUCCAAAUCACAUUAACAUUAGUGCCAAUCCAACCUAUCUCCAGAUCUUCACCCGAUUUUGAUGUAAGAAUAUCUAGCUUUUUCUUUCGAACGUCGUAAACCAUUAAAUUUAUGACGUAUCAAUCCUCACUUUCAAAAGCAAGAGUUCAAUAUUUUUUCAGUUAUAAUAAUUCUGCCAACUGCGGUGAAAUAAGGCCAUAAUUUCUUCAAUAGAUCUUUUUUAGUUUUGUCAGCAUAUUAAAGUUGUGUUAAAGCUCUCCCCAUGCUUUACAUCCACUCUUUUGAUUAUUUGAUCAGAACAAUUUUGAUGCAAAAAGUAAUUCUUUUCUGAUCUUCUUUCACAUUAUUUUUAUGAAUAACCAUUAAUUUAUUUUACAAUCAUACAUUGUACAUAUAAAUUUGCAAAUUUGCCCGAACUACACAGAUCUGAUUCUUGUUUCACAACACAAGAUACGUAGGCAACCCUCAUUUGAGUUCGGUCCAAUUCUUUUUUAAAAAAUAAAAAAAUUGACUUGGUUAGUACCAAUACAGUUAGGAGUAUGCAUGAUGUCGCGCCUCAUUUUCCUCGUAGAAAGAGGUAUUCGACGUGACCACUCUUUUUGGGAUUAUUUUGAAGGUAGAGUGUGAAAAGUCACCACCUAACGAAUUAAGGUGCGUUAGGGCACCGGUUUAGACUACUACGAACCUAUUUUUAUUGUUUAGUCUUAGUUCACUAGAGUUUGGGUAAGGUUUAAAAUUACUUCGAAAGGAAGGAGUUAGGCACCUUUCGAGCUCCACAAAAAUGGUUCCCGGCCGAAUUCAUACUUUACGUGGGGAUUCUAUGUGAUCAAAUAAGGCUUCUUGUUUUAUUAUUAAUUUAAUGUUAACUAAGUGGUAAAGUAAUGAAUAAACAAGCACAAGUCAUUUUAUUCUUCCUAAUUAUUAAUUAUCUAAGCAAUAAAAAUCAGUGAAAUACGUAAAUAAGACAAACAAAGGGAGAGAGUGAUAUAAAUUAUAACAAAAAUUAUUAAGCAAGGGAAAAAAUUUAAACUACCCCAAAUAAAUAAAGAAAUAAGAAAAAUACACAGUAACUAACUUAUUUUGAUAGAGAACUAUAUUCAAAACUUGAAAAAUAAAGAGUUAUUGUUUCUUAAAAAAAAUGUUUAUUGCUUUAUAGAAACAACGCCACGAUACCAUUAAUCGCGCUCAUUCAACUUAGCAACAAUUUUAAUUAGAGGUUAGUUUUAAGUGAAAAUAAUAAAAUUAUAAUUUUAAAGACAAGUGAAAAAUAAACAAAAAAAACAUUUAUGUAUGUAUGCAUAAUCUCUGCUUUUUGAAACUUUUGGUACGUAGAGCUCCCAAAACUGUAACAAAUUAAUUUAGGAUAUGAAGAUCUGACCCCGUGAUUCUUUUUACUUUCCCGCUAACUAUAGGUUAGGAGAUAGUACAAAGAGUAAAAUGUCAUGUCUAUUUUAAAUUGUGAAAGUCAAAACCGCACAAUGACUUUGAUACAGAAAUAAAAGUCUUUUUUUUUGUUAAAUACGUAGAUACUGAAAAUUAUUUUACUAAGUAGAAAUUAAUGAAACAUACGAAAACAAAAAUAGGAAUGCUGAAAAUUAAUUAUAAUGUGCCAAAAAUAUUAUUUUAAAAUGCUGAAAAUUAAUUUUAAUAUGCAAAAAAUACUAUUUAAGGUGCUGAAAAUAUUAUUUAAAAUGCCAAAAAUGUUAUUUUGAAUGCUAUGAGUAUAAUUGUUGAAAGGGUGAUUUAAAAUGCUAAGAAUGUCAUUUAUAAAAUGUCCGCAAUUGUUAAACAUGCAAAAGUCAAUAAACAUGUUGUAAAUUAAGUUGCCAUAUUCAAAUGUGAAUUAACAAGGCAAGUAUUAAUUAAACUCCUGAAAACAAGAUUUCUAGGCGGAUCAACUAAUAAGUCGUAAAUUAGAUAAAUCCUAAAUUAGAUUUGCCUAAAUGACAAACAAGUCAAGUAACAAAUCCUAAAUUUAUUUUCCUAAGUGAUUCACAUGGUACGUAAAGCACAUAAACCCCCGCUUCCUAGCAGUUUCCAUAAUUUAUUAUUACACAAAUGUUUAUACAACAUAUUAGUUCAAAUUUAAAUCGCAAUAAAAGAGAAAUAGAAAGUAAAUUAAGGCGAGAUAUCCCUGAAGGUGGCAACAUUUUAGCACAACUUGACCAAAGCACCUGCUCGAACAUCACAAAAUACACAAACAAGUUGUACGGUGCACGAAUUCUCAAAUUGAUCGAAUAAAACAUGAUUCCAAUCACAAAAGACAUCAAAACAAAACAAUUCAAGCAGUCACAAAAGUGACAAUGUGUCAUCAUGAAAGGAGUUUAGGAAUGCGAAAAAUUAAAUAAGAAAACUAACCGGUUAGGUGAAGUAAUAUGAAAAUAAAAUCAGAAUAUUGCAAUAAAGAGAGCAACUACAGUUCGAGAUUGAACCAAGUGUUUUGGAAGCCGCGAGCAAAAAAAUUUUGUUCCUCUUAUCUUGUUUUUGUAUAGAGUGUAUGAGUAUGAUAAAAGCUAUAGAGUGUGAGUUGUCUCAAUAAUCAAAAAGGUUGUUGUUUAUAUAGUAAAAGAAUCAAGACAAAUAAAGAAAAAGGAAUAUCUUUUGUCAAUCAAUUAAGAAAAUAAUAAAAUCAGUCGAUCAAUCAAUGAAAUUUUCCCUAUAAAUAUCACACUUCAUAUUAACAGUCAAAAUAAAUAAAAGGAAGGAAAAAUAUCAAUCAAUUCAAAUUUACUGUCUAACAUGCUUACAAAUUAAGGCAAAUCAUUAAGAGUAUGUAAAUAACUACAAAAAAAAGGAGAAUCGUUAAUUUGGCAAAAUCUUUUUAGAAGUGUCAGAAUCAAUUUACAUAAAAUUAAUCAAUCUAAAAAUAGGAAAAAUAUUCAAUCAAUGGAAUUAAUUAUUCAAAUCACCAGAGAAGGAAAAAUAUAUUACCAAGCCAUUCAUAGUGAAACCAAAUAAUUUUAACAUUGGUGUAAAUAACAUCAGUUCAAUAUCAAUCACGCGUAUGAAUUUCAAGUAAACAACAGUAACAAUACUCAUCGGCAUACCCAAAAUUAUGAUACGUAAUAACGAGGAAUGAAUUCAAUAAGCCAUGAGCACCUUUUCGAUGCAAAAUUAGGUCUAAUAGUAAUCCAUAUGUUAAUUAAAGAAUGUAAGCAAAUACGAAAUUGGAUUAAUCAAAAAUCAAAAUCAAAUAUUACUAAUUUCAAAUUCAAUAAUCUAUCAAAGAAAAGAACGAGAAGAAGAUAACAAUGUUAGUUUGGGACACAAAAUUAAAUGGGGUACAAACUUGGACGAAUUCGCUAUGAAUCUGUCGUGUUUCGCCGAUGAUGAAUGGAAAUGGUGACGGCUGAGAAGCGGACCAAUAGUGGUCCUUUGGGCUGGCGGCUGUGUUGUUGUUGUUUUUUUGUCGGCGGUAUGGGUGGCUAGAGAAGCGGAGGCUGGGGCGUCUGACAGGGGCUGAAGUAGCGAUGGAAACUGAAAACUAGACAAUGUAUUUGUAAAAAAUGUGAGUGUGCAUAGUUACGAAUAAUUUAAUAAAAUUAUGUAAAAAUAUCGUAUUUGAGUUUUAAAAUUAUAAAAAUUAUGCUAAAAGAAAAUAAAAUAGUUUUUGUGAAUUUUUCUAAAUUAUGAAUGUGAUACGUCAAUAUGUAUUUAAUAUAAGAAUAACGUGUAAAAAUAUUAAUAAUCAAAAUUAAAUAAUUUUGAUAAGAUAGCAGCCUAAAAGAGCAUCGGGUGGUCAAAAUUGGGUAUCAACACAUGAGAAAGAACAAACUGGUAUGAUGUAAAGGAUUGAUUUCAUGGUAAACCAUAGAUUAUUUUGGUACCUUUUAUCACACCUGAGCAACACUUGAAAAAUUCUCUUGCAUACAUCUAACGCAAGAAUGAAGUCAACCUCGUUGUUUUAUGUGCAUUGUGUGGUGAGUUUAGUUUAAUUCAUUGCAUUGCAUCGUUGAUCUAAAACCUGUCCUAAAUAUCUGUUGAGACGACAUUCUGAGUUGCACUUGGUUUAGGAAAGGAUUGUAGGCCUUCUUUGAUCUGAUUGUGCCUUUUAUAGCCUACCAAAUGACAUUAAUCCCUAGCAUUCCCUCUUUUGAGCCUAAAACCUUUUCUUGGACAACCGCAUCUGAACCUAUACCUUUUUGAGUGCUUAUAUGCACUAUCCCUGUUUCGCCCUAUCUCCUUAAGCGCACUAAAUACGUGCAAAUUACGAACGAAGAUUCAAGUUUAAAGACACAAAAUGCAAAGAAUAUAUCAUCUCAGAUGAAAAAAUGAAAAAAAUGACUUCAAAUAAAACAAAAACCCCACAAAAAAAAAGAGAAUGAAAAAAACAUAUAGUUUCUUAGAGAGGAGAAACUCUAACACAAGAUUCAAAAGAAGCCGAAGCAAAUACAAAACAAGGGGCAACAUAGCACAACUAGGAAGAUCACGCGUUAAAGCACAACAAAUUUUGAAAACACAGAUAUAAUGCAACGCUUAUUGAGAAAUUAGUCACUUUCAUCUCAAAUUUAUCCUACCUGCCUGAUGCCCACAUUACAAGCUAAUAACAAGUCCUACAGGAUUCUAUUCCAAGCAUUCUCACAUUAGUGGAUACUUACAUGAAGGUCAAGUCUAUGGUAUCACAAUUGCAUACAUUGAUAUUCUUUCUGAGUAUGAGUGUAUUUCCCUAUAUGUCCCCAAAUUCAAAAAGAAAAAUUACUCAAAUAUGUGCGAAAUGGGACUUUUUUUCAGGAGAGGGCACUUGAAGCAUGAGGAUAGGCAUUGCUCGAAACAUUUUUUUGAAGCAAGACAAAAAGUCUUGUCGUUUCUUAGGCGUGUUUGAGGUACCAUUUGAAACUAUAGGAGUGACCCUGAAGUCAAUCUCGGUUAGCUGGAAAAGAGAUAAGGGAAUCCUUAUGUAUACUACUAAUUAUUGGUACUAAUUGAAGCCAAGACAUGAUUGUGUCUUCUUCAUCUUUCAGCAUUUUUUACCAAGAAAAUGCAAAAUUCUUUCUUUCUUUUUUUUUUCAAGAAGCCCACCUUCAAAUACGGCCAUUCUUUUUUUAAAUUUCAUUCAAGUUGCCCACUUUCACAUACAUGCAUUUUACUUUUUAUUAAAGGCGCCCAGUUUUGAAGUACGGGCAUUUGACUUUUUCUUUCAAGCAUAUACCUUUAAAUAUCGAUAUUUUAUUUUUCAGUCAAGCACCCAUUUUUGAGUAUUUUUAUAUUUUUUAUAGCCCCUCCAAUCGAGAGCCUAUUACAUUUGUUUUGUAGUCUAGAGCCUUUUACAUUCCAAUAGCCCUAUCAGUUGAGAGGCUAUUGAGGGCCUUAGUUUUCAAAGACAAUCGGAGAUGGAAAUCACCAUCAUUCUUCGUAACAAUCAGAGACGUCAUACAUUUUUUCAAGACUUUUUCUUUCUUUUCAGAUAAUAUUAACCAUAGAUCAUACACUAGGGCAAAUUUUGAGAACCACCUCAACAAUUUAUUCUAUUUUCUCGUAUCAAACUACAUUGACUUGAUUCUCGUAACACUCAAGAUGAGUAGGAUGCUCUAUGUAGAGUUCGGUCAGCACAAUCCAUAAUCAUUCUUUCUCCCCAUCAAGUACACAAUCUUGCAUCCCCCAAUAUCUCAGAAUUUGAUAGUGGGACAAUUUUGAAAGUAGCAUUAGAAAUAAGUGAACACUUUCCUUCCCAAAUAAUUCUUUGCUAAAUAUUCAUUUCGUGGCUCUGUCCAUCCUAAAAUAGGACAAAUUGGGUUGGUUUGCCCUCAAAAAGACAGUUAUGCAUGUUUUUCUUUAGUUAAAUACUUAUGUUUGCUUGCCGUUACUUGCAUGUAUCGCACUGUAUUUAUUUCAUUUACAUUACAUGUUAUCUUUGUCUUUACUUGCACGCACUACAAUGCAAUUAUUUUAUAGUUUAAGCACUAUAGUCUAUCUUUACCUUUACUUGCACGCAUCGAAAUGCAUUUAUUUUAUUAUUUUAAGCACUGCAUGUUAUCUUUGUCUUUAUUUCCAUACAUCGCAAUGCAUUUAUGUUAUCCUUUAAGCACUCGCAAUACAUUUAUUUUAUUAUUUAAGCACUGCAUAUCACCUUUGUGUUUACUGGCUCAUAUCACAAUGCAUUUUGUUAUUUAAGCAUUGCAUGUCUAGCAAAUAUCGCAAUGCAUUUAUUUCAUUAUUUAAGCACUACAUGUCAUCUUUGCCUUUACUGACGCAUAUCACAAUACAUUUAUUUUCUUGUUUAAGCACGACACGCAGAUAUUGUAAUGCAUUUAUUUUAUUAUUUAAGCACUACAUGUCAUUUUUGCCUUUACUGGCUCAUAUCGCAAUGCAUUUUGUUAUUUAGGCACUGCAUGCCUUGCAAAUAUCGCAAUGCAUUUAUUUUAUCAUUUAAGUACCACAUGUUAUUUUUGCAUUUAUCUGGCACAUAUUGUAAUGCAUUUAUUUCUAAUAUUUUAACACUGCACGCAUAUAUCGCAAUGCAUUUUAUCAUUUAGGCAUUGCACGCCUCACAAAUAUCUUAAUGCAUUUAUCUUAUUAUUUAAGCAUUGUAUGUCAUUUGUCUUUACUGGCACAUACCGCAAUGCAUUUAUUUAUCAUUUAAGCACUGCAUUUUAUCCUUGCUUUUACUUGCACACAUCGCAAUGCAUUUAUUUAUUUUAUCAUUUAAGCACUGUAUGUCAUCUUGGCAUUUACUUGCGCAUAGCAAUGCAUUUUUUUUUAUAAUUUAAGCACUGCAUGUCAUCUUUACGUUUACUUGCACAUCGCAAUGCAUUUAUUUUGUUAUUUAAGCACUGCAUGCUUUGUCUUAACCUACACAUAUUAAAAUGUAUUUAUUUUACCAUUUAAGCACCAAAUGUUAUAUGUGCAUGUACUAUUUUUUAAGCACUGCAUGCUAUUUUUUAAUUUUUUUUUAAAAGAAAAAAAUAAGAAGAAAAAAUCAAGCUUAAUUUUUCGUUUGAAUUUUAUUGAUCAUUACUUCUUAGUUUGAUGCAUUUGCAAGCAUAUAUUUUGAGGACAUUGAGUUCGUCCAUUCUAAAAUAGGACAUAUUGAGGUAGCAACUCUAAAUUAGAGUUCCCUCAAUUUUUUUAAUCAAAAAUAAUUUUUUGUCAAGAAAAAUUGGCUACACGUUAAUAUUUUCGUCUAAAGACUUCUAUAUUGUCUUCAAACGAAAAGGGGCAAACUGUUGACACCCAAUUUUGGCUCUUCAUACUUAAAUUUAGCACUUUUAGGCUUUAUGAUCGUUAAAGUACAUAAAAUAUAAUUUUUCACACUUUUUGUUUAUAAUUUUUUAGCAAAUUAACGAUAAUCAUCAUUUUUUAGAAUUUAUUAUCAUAUUUUAACUUUGCAUAAUUUAUUGAUAAUUAUCCUUAAUUUCGUAAAUUUUAGAAUUUUUAUUAAUUUAUUAUCAUUUUAAUAUUUUUGCAUAGUCAUUUGCAUAUGUACAUAGCAUAACACUACAAUUCUUUCUUACAUAUUAUAAUUUUAAAUGUUUAUAGCGUAAUAUAGUUUUUAGAUGAUUUUGUUAUAUUUGUUGUUUUUAUUUUUCUGUGAUUAUACAUCGACAUUCAUAUUUUUGUACAUUAUUUAAUACGAUCUGCAAAUGUAGCUGACUUAAUUAUUUUAAAUACACAGAGCAAUAAAUUAAUCAAAUCAAAAUCAUGUCAACUUUUUUUAAAGAUGACAAUUGACAUGACUAAUUAGAUCUUUUACCCUUUAGUCAAAAUACUACUACUAUUUAAUAGUUAAAAUGGAUAUAUUUUUUUGGUUAAUAAUGGACUCCACUUUUUAUUAUAAGUAAAAUGGGAGGGCUAAUUAUUUAAUACACACACUACACGCACAAACACACCAAAAAAAUAUCAAUCUCUCUCUCCUUUCUCUUCUCUCCCUUUUCUCUCAAAAUCAAACUGUCGCCCACCACCCCUACCACCGUCGGAGUCCGAUGAAACCUUUACCACCACGUCACCCUCUCUCCCUUCAUCUUCUCUUUUCUGUCGCAUCUUACUGGAUGUGACAACCGAUAAGCUGCCUCCGGCCACCACCAUUACUGUCGCCUCUUUUCCUUUCCCUUCCCCAUUUUCUUUUUCAUUGCUUCUUCGCCAAAAGUGAUGACCGGCAAAUCUCCCCAACGAGCAGCCACCACUAUGGCUAGUUUUCCUCACCCUUUUCUCGUGUUUCCAUCGCUGCCUCAUUGAAAUUGAUGGCCAGCAAGCUCCCAAAGCAUCACUACCGCCACUGCUUUACCAGACAUGGCCAGAUCUGGGCAAGAUUUCAUUUCUCCGGCGUGGCUUCGAUGAAUACCUUUAACGCAAUGCCACCAACAAUCUUUGUUGUCUCCGAUUUUGUUAUUUAUUUGGUUACUAUGCUUUAUUUUCUUAAAAUAGAUCUAUGCAUUUCUUGUGCUCUAACGAUUCUUGACUGAUUUUGGGUUGUCUUUCAAUAUUUUUGGUGGCCUUGAAUUUUCGAGCAUCCUCUUUGUUUUCUCUAGGUGAAACUGCUACAAGUUUGCUCAUUUUGGGUUGUUCUGUUAUUGUUUAGCCACUGUUUUGCUGCUUGUGGACUGAUUUUUCUCUCACUUUUGCUCUUUUACUGCAUUUUACAUUUUUAUUAAAUUGAUAAUGAACAAAUGUUAUAUUGGCCAAGAAAUUUUCUGUCGAUUUUUUAGGCCUUCACAAAUAAAAAGACAGAUAUUGCGUAUAUAAAUACAUAAUAAAAUAAAUAUUUCAGGUGAUGAUAAAAUUUUUAUAGCAACACAAAAGUUUUAUGAUUCGUAUCUUGGUAAGACGAUUUAGGACGGCUAAUAAAUUAAGCAACCACUUCGUAGCCAUAGUGUACCUAAAAUCUGAUCCGAGCCCACACUUUUACUAAAAAAAUUUAUUUUUUAUACAUAUAUGCACACACAUCUUCUCAUUUUUUUGAUAAUUAUUUAUUUGUUACUAAUAUUUUUAUUACAAGUGCUUAUACAGGUUAUUGAGAAUAUUUAUCGGAAAUGACAUGCAAAGAAGACUUUAAUUUUUGUGAUUCGUAUUUUUAUAUUAUUACAUUUGUAUAAAUAGCAAUUAUAGUGAAAAAUUUAUUUUUUGGGGUGUUAGGCGGGAAUGCUUUAACUUAUACUACAUUCAUCACGCGCUUAGGCAAAAUUUAGGCUGUUACUAUUUACUUGAAAGAAUUAAAUUAAUUUAGAUAUUUAAUCAAAUAAUUCCUACUUUUUUUUUACAUUAAACAUGGCUUAAUCUUUUUCUGUAAAAUAAAAUUUCGUUAUCUAAUCUUUUCAUUUUUUUCAUACAUAUUUUCAUGUACUUUCAUUUACCUUCAUGCACUUUUAUACACAUAUUUUUUCGAUAACACAAUGUAAUUUACACAUUCUUUAUACAUAGAUUGUUUAUUUUAAUAUACAUUUUAUAGUUGCAUUUAGAAACAAUGAUUUUUCUUUUCCUCUUUUAAUAAUAACCUAAGUCUGGUCGGGAACCACAUUUGUGGAUUCUGAAGGGUGUCUAAUCCCUUCCCUUCGGAAUAAUUUAAACGUUUACCUGAAAUCUAAAAUGGUUUCGUAGAUUAAAAUAAAGUCAUACUUGUUAAUAAAUAAAUAGGUUUUUUUAUUUUCCUUAAAAAUUAAGUGGCGACUCUGUACAAAUUAAUUCUUUUUAAAGUCCAUAAUAUCGUGCUCGUUUUGAGCUUAGGUAAAAAUCGGGUAUGACAGGUACAACAUCCCUAGUUGAUAUUUUAGGAAACAAAUUCUCUUGUUCAUGUCUUCAUUGGGUACGACAUUCCCUAGUCGCAUUUUAACAAUCAAAUAUCCUAAUCCUUUUCAUGCAUUCGUGAAGUAUAACAUCUCUUGAUUGCAUUAUUGAGAAAGAACCUUAUCUUAUUUUCCUACCUAAUUUAGAUUUCUAGCAUUUUCAUAUUUUUCAUUUAAGUAAUUAGUUUGGAGCUUUUCUAAGGACUCACAAAAUUUUCCUAGUGCAAACUGGGGCAAGAACUUUUGUUCGUCUUAGUUUUGUUUUCUUUGAUAUCUUGCAGGUUUUUCUGCAAAGAACAUAUGUGAAGUCUAAAUAUAAAAUCCCAUCUCCGGUUAGAGUAUAGAAGAAUGAUCAAUUUCGAAAAUAGUUACAGUCAGCUUUGCAUCCAUAGCAACCCAACAUCGCAAGAGUCAUCUUCUCAGCGUCUGAUGAUUAAGAGAAUAAGCAUCCAAGAAUAUUCUACGAACUAUUCUUUGGAGGAGUGUCAAUGACUCGAUCCAAGUUUCAAAUUCAAGUCUCAAAUCUUAACUUUAAGAUUAAAUUUGAGAUCAAGGUACCCACCAAAAGAAGGUGAUGCGAUAACUGAAGAUCCAAAAGGAAGAUUUGAAGCAAGAGAAUCAAGACAAUUAGAAUAGAUAAGAGCU
rnacentral:lncRNA from 1 species